UUCACCCUGUAUUAGCUCCUGUGAUUGCUGCAGACCAUUAGCUUCUCCAUCUGUCCUCAAAGUGCUGGGUGCCAUUCCUGCAAUCCACUGGCGGCAGGCAGCACGCCCGUUU